UGAGUCUUGGCCUGAUCUGGGGAACCGUGCCGAUGGGGUGAGGGUUGGCACUAUAUGGCUAGUGUGCAGUGCCGGGAGUGCACUGGGGCAGUGCACACCGGGUCGUGUUGACAAGCCAUGUCCCGGAGGAUGCCCACCUGGCGUCGCGUCUGACUUGUCUCCCGUCGCCGAUUCGCUCAUCUCCCUCUCCGCAUCUGUUGGCUGGCACUCAACUCUCCCGUCCUCGUCCCCUCUCCUCGCCCUCCCCUUCCAGGCAAGACCCCUACUGCAUCAUCCGCAUCGGUGGCCAGACCUUCCGCACACGCACGGCCGUGGACGGCGGCCGCAACCCCGUGUGGAAUGAGACGUUCCGCUUCAAUGUCAUCAACGAGAACAACGUGGAUGUGGAGAUUAAGGACGAGGACGUGGGCAAGGACGACCUGAUCGGCACCUGCACCUUCUCGCUCGCCAAGGCGCGUGAGAGCGGCAGCGACCGCAUCCAGGCGCCUGUGGUCAGCAAGAAGAGCCGCAAGCAGCGCGGCUUCCUCUCCAUCGCCCUCAGCUGGGAGCCCAACAAGGCGCUCAAGUCAAAUGACAACGCCGCCGCCGCCCACGCGCCCCACCACCAGCAGCAGCACUACCAGCACCCCCCGCCAAUGGCCUACGCCGCCGCACCCCCGCCCGCCUAUUACGCUGCCCCGCCCGCUCCUGCCUACUACGCCGCCCCGCCCCCGGCCGUCGCCUACUACGCUGCUGCUGCCUAUCCGCCCGCACCUAUGGCCGCAUACCCUCCUGGGGCCUACCCUCCGCAGCCGUACCCGGGUGCGGUGCCGGUGCCGGGCCACCGUUAGACACUUGUAGCCAGCCAAGUAGUGGGCCCAGGCCGUUAGCCCGAGUGCUAGGCCACGAGCCCGAGUGUUAGGCCGUUCGGGGGCGGCGGCGCGUAGACAAUGGCUGCUCUAAGUGAGUGUGUGCACUCCUGUCUAAGUGCUGUUUAGGAUUGCUUCGAUCCACUCGACAUUGAUUCUUUCCCUAAUGUUUGGACUUCCGUGUGCCUAGCCCUACGAACCCUUUCGAAUAGGCGGAGAGCCCAACAGGUAGGAGUCAUCUAGAGUGACCUGCCGUGGCCGUGCGGUGAUAAGGUGGUGGCGUAGUGGUGGCAGGCAUGCCGUGUCCCACAGACACACGGUGGUGCUUUGCGCAUAUAGACAUGCACAUGCACGCGUACAUGCAUGAUGCGUUGUGUUUCGUACAUAAAAUUUUGUGUGUUGGUUGUCUGUUGGUACAAGUGCCGCAGUGAUGGUAGUGAUGCCGCGAUGACUGUGAUCUGUUGACUGAACGACGGCUGAAGGUAUGACAAGGCGCUGAGCAAUGAAACGAACAAAGUGGCACAUUGUUACAUAUAAGCUCCGCACACAUCGAAGCACAUAUAUGCCUGGGGCAUGGCAAUGCGUCAAGGCGUGACGCAGCAGUACUUACACGUGAUGUGUGGUGGGCAGCGCGGUUUCUACUCGCUAGAGACAAUGUGUGUCACAUUCCUUUCUCAAUUGAACUCCAAGUGUAACAUGCAUGCGUGUAAACUCUGUUGACGGAGCAACCACGCCAACGGCGCGUUCCACACUGGGAGCACUUGCAGCAAGGGAUGGGCCAAAACGUUGCAAGAACAGCAGGUGUUGAGGUGUAGAAUAGGGCAAUGGGCGGCAAAUCAGCGCGCUGGCACGAAGUGCACGAUGCCUUCCAUCAGGAUGGACUCCAGGUAAACAGCAACGUGGUCUUGACAUGGUAACAGGAAAGUUCGGGGCCACAGGCACUACGGGCACACACAGGGCACAUCGUGCGCAUGCGUUUGCCUGCUUAAAGGCACUUCGAUCCUUGAAUGAGCUGCUCGCGCGUCAUGCAUGGGAGAUGUCCGAAUGAUGUUGUCAUGACGCCGAACCGCCCGCCCGACGGUCUGCGGUAGGACCCAGGGUGACCCGGCCGCACCCCGAAAGCCACACUUCACAGAAUACGGUAGGUCCUGUGUGCGCAAAGCGUACAUGGUCUUGGAGCUCAUGAGCUCACGUCAGUUUGCAUAGCGGCCCGACCCGUGUGACGUGACACCGCGCGUGUGGUUGUUGGGCUUCAGUAACUCGGUGCGGGGACAGGGGUAAGGCGUGGGGUAAGGCGUGUGCACAUGACCCCUCCGUGCGGCACGGAUUGGUCGAGGACUCCUUGCUCAAGAUAAGCAGCGCUCGCGCUGUUCGCUACCCAAAUUUAAUUCACGCACUUAAUGUCAGGUAAAUCGCAAGUCAUAAAUCAUAGACUCUCGCAACUUCGCCCCCGACAUCUCUCCGAAAGGUUCCGACUCGCUUUGCACCUUGCGCGGUCCUCGUCGGCUAUCAUUUUGAUUACACCCAAAUCGGCGCAGCAGGCCAAUGGCGCUGGAAGCUGGAGUGCUGACUGUGACGGUGGAGGCAGCGCAUGACCUAAAAGACCCGGAAUGGGUCAGCAGGUGCCUGCGGGGUGCUUGGGUGCCUGGGUGCACGUCGAACACGCCGGCCGUCCAAUAAUUAGAUGGUUGAGCAUGGAGGGAAGCUCCGCCCCGCCCAACCCCCAGGGAAGGGGUACUGGGCGAGAUUCGGGUACCCACGCGGCGAGAACACACUCCAUCCCCGACAUGCAUGCCCAAUCACUCUCGCCCGAAGGCCUGCAUUGGGGGCCGUUUCUUGCCGCUCCCCGAACAUGCAAGCCCUGGGCUGCGGGCUCUGCAAGGACCUGAACACCCUGGAUGGCAGCGGGGUGGCGCGGUGUUCAGGGAAGAGCAGUGGAGUCCAGCAGCCGAGUGAUGCCACCUUCAUCACCUGCUCGUGACGCUUUCAUUGGCAGAACGUCUCGUGCUUGUCUAGCUCCCCUAUACCGUACACCUCAUUCUCCCGCCUUUAAUUGUCCCUGACCCUCCUUCUACCCCUCCAGGCAAGACCCCUACUGCGUCAUCUCCGUCGGCGGCCAGACCUUCCGCACGCGCACGGCCGUGGACGGCGGCCGAAACCCCGUGUGGAAU
rnacentral:lncRNA from 1 species